rnacentral:rRNA from 1 species
UACGGGGGGAGCAAGCGUUGUUCGGAUUUACUGGGCGUAAAGGGCGCGUAGGCGGCCACCGCAAGUCAGUUGUGAAAUCUCUGGGCUUAACCCAGAACGGUCAGCUGAUACUGCGGGGCUAGAGUGCAGAAGGGGCAACUGGAAUUCCAGGUGUAGCGGUGAAAUGCGUAGAGAUCUGGAGGAACACCGAUGGCGAAGGCAGCCUUCUGGGCCAACACUGACGCUCAUGCACGAAAGCGUGGGGAGCAAACAGG